rnacentral:lncRNA from 1 species
AUGUUGAAUACGAUGAGCAUAUGUAACCUGCUCGGUUGUCUCUAUUCGCAUUGUUUGGGCCCCGCAACUUGCCUAAAGCCUGCUGCAGUGGCUCGAUUUCUUUUCUCUUGCCAUCCAUGAUCGUCCUGAAAUGGUUUUUUUCUUCAACGAGCGCCUUAAGUUGACCAAUUACUUGUGCUCGUUCAUUCUAGAAAAAAAAAAAAACAAAAUUUCAAUCAAAAUUAGUAUUAACAAGUCGAGACAAGAGUGUAUGUAAGCUCAAGAGUAUUGAUAUAACAAAUUACCCUUUUUGCCCUCAGCUUUUCAGUUAUGGGGUCACGGGCCAAAUUAAGCUUUUUAAGAUCCUUAUCAGCCUGAUCAAGUUUAGCUUUCAGGGCCUGGUCUUCAACUGUUCGGUAUUUAACAAAAUAAAGUGAGUGGAACUUUUUUUCUUCGGGCCACUCGUCAACUGCAUCCUUUGGAAAGCUGGGUUCGGGUGCUUUCUCUACACGAACGGAUUCACUCACGUGAGGACCGGAUUCAUUUUCACCAACAUGCCCGUUUUCAACAGACACAACACCAUCAAUAGCCAUGUUGUUUUCAAGAUAAAAAGAACUUCACUACUCUUCAAAUAUUGAAAACCCUGAAGCGGAAAACACACUAAUUAGCCAACAAAAUUUAACCUUUCACCUAUUUUAUCGGAUUGCAAGAAUCAAGCUUUACAGGCUCCAUAAACACCAAUUUGCAAAUACUAACGAAAAUAAUACAAACAAAAACUUCUAGAAAUAAUUUAUCUCGAAUCAAGUAAGGAAUCGGGUCACUUUCACGCAGCCUUCAGCAUAACUUGAUUUCAAUAAAGUGACAUUAUUCAAAUAUGAGUGAUUAAAACCCUAAUUUUUAAUUAAUUAGGGUCAAAAAAAUUAAAAUCACAUAUUUAUACACCUCUUUAAAAUAUUACACACAUCUAGUUCCUCUUUAAGUUCAAUCAGAAAACACUAAUCACCAUAACUUUUCAUAAUCUUCAUCAUACAAAUAACAAAUAAUAAAAAAAAAUAAACACCAAUUUACAAAUAAUAAAAAAUAAAUAAAUACAAACACCUCUUUUAGUUCAAUUAAAGAAUAAUCUUCAUCACACAAAUAAACAGAUAGUAAUC